rnacentral:rRNA from 1 species
UAGAGUUUGAUCCUGGCUCAGAGCGAACGCUGGCGGCAGGCUUAACACAUGCAAGUCGAGCGCCCCGCAAGGGGAGCGGCAGACGGGAGAGUAACACGUGGGAACAUACCUUUUGGUUCGGAACAACUGAGGGAAACUUCAGCUAAUACCGGAUAAGCCCUUACGGGGAAAGAUUUAUCGCCGAAAGAUUGGCCCGCGUCUGAUUAGCUAGUUGGUGAGGUAACGGCUCACCAAGGCGACGAUCAGUAGCUGGUCUGAGAGGAUGAUCAGCCUCAUUGGGACUGAGACACGGCCCAAACUCCUACGGGAGGCAGCAGUGGGGAAUAUUGGACAAUGGGCGCAAGCCUGAUCCAGCCAUGCCGCGUGAGUGAUGAAGGCCUUAGGGUUGUAAAGCUCUUUUGCCCGGGAAGAUAAUGACGGUACCGGGAGAAUAAGCCCCGGCUAACUUCGUGCCAGCAGCCGCGGUAAUGCGACGUCGGCCCAAUCGCC